GAGGAAUAUUGGUCAAUGGACGGAAGUCUGAACCAGCCAAGUAGCGUGCAGGAUGACGGCCCUAUGGGUUGUAAACUGCUUUUGUAUGGGGAUAAAGUUAGGGACGUGUCCCUAUUUGCAGGUACCAUACGAAUAAGGACCGGCUAAUUCCGUGCCAGCAGCCGCGGUAAUACGGAAGGUCCAAGCGUUAUCCGGAUUUAUUGGGUUUAAAGGGAGCGUAGGCUGGAGAUUAAGUGUGUUGUGAAAUGUAGACGCUCAACGUCUGAAUUGCAGCGCAUACUGGUUUCCUUGAGUACGCACAACGUUGGCGGAAUUCGUCGUGUAGCGGUGAAAUGCUUAGAUAUGACGAAGAACUCCGAUUGCGAAGGCAGCUGACGGGAGCGCAACUGACGCUUAAGCUCGAAGGUGCGGGUAUCAAACAGGAUUAGAUACCCUGGUAGUCCGCACAGUAAACGAUGGAUGCCCGCUGUUGGUACCUGGUAUCAGCGGCUAAGCGAAAGCAUUAAGCAUCCCACCUGGGGAGUACGCCGGCAACGGUG
rnacentral:rRNA from 1 species